GGUGCUGUGGCUUAGUGGGUAAAGCCACUGCCUGCAAUGCUGGCAUCCCUUAUGGCUCGGGUUUGAGUCCUGGCACCUCUU
rnacentral:tRNA from 1 species